CGGCCGCCGCGGUAAUACAGAGGGUGCAAGCGUUAAUCGGAAUUACUGGGCGUAAAGCGCGCGUAGGUGGUUUGUUAAGUUGGAUGUGAAAUCCCCGGGCUCAACCUGGGAACUGCAUCCAAAACUGGCAGGCUAGAGUAGGGCAGAGGGUGGUGGAAUUUCCUGUGUAGCGGUGAAAUGCGUAGAUAUAGGAAGGAACACCAGUGGCGAAGGCGACCACCUGGGCUCAUACUGACACUGAGGUGCGAAAGCGUGGGGAGCAAACAGGAUUAGAUACCCCUGUAGUCCCUGUCUCUUAUAC
rnacentral:rRNA from 1 species